rnacentral:rRNA from 1 species
UUUCGGCGUGUUAUACGGCAAAGAUGCGAAUCUCUGGCUGACAAUGGACAGUAUGCAAAGGUGGCUGAUGCUGUGUCAUGUGCGCAGUAUUGGUACUGAUCUGCGACGAUCUCUUCGGGCCUCUUUCCGACCCGUCUUGAAACACGGACCAAGGAGUCUAACAUGCGCGCGAGUCGCGGGGUAUCGAGCGUACUACGGUGCGUUCGUUCAUUAUGAAACCCGUAUGUUGAAGGCGUAAUGAAAGUAAAUUGGGAAGAUGGUGUUCCGAGUAUACGUACCGUGAAAUUCGCGGCCGGACAUCCGCAUUCCCGGGGCGUCUCAAUGGCUCAUCGCGAGUGCAGAUUGUCGUCUCUCGGGGYGGCAGUCAGUUUGCGAUGGUCCGAGGCGCACCUAUAGCGUGCACGUUGGUACCCGAAAGAUGGUGAACUAUGCCUGGCCAGGAUGAAGUCAGGGGAAACCCUGAUGGAGGUCCGCAGCGAUUCUGACGUGCAAAUCGAUCGUCUGAGCU